rnacentral:lncRNA from 1 species
UUUAAUCAUAUUUACUGCUGUAUGACCAUACGUUCAUAUGGCGAUAUCCGCUGGAAGGAAAAUCCAUGCUGUUUUGAUUUGAAAUGCAUCAAUUUGUUAAAAGUGGAAAAGUGCUGUUGGUCCUCAUGGAGAGCUGUGCAGGUACAGGACACAAAUUUGCUGCUGUCCGGUUAAAAUCUGCAGAUAAGGCUGCAAUGAUCCGUUUUGAUCCAUGGGUUCAGCAAAGAGUACUUUACAAA